rnacentral:rRNA from 1 species
CAGCAGCCGCGGUAAAACGGAGGAUCCAAGCGUUAUCCGGAUUUAUUGGGUUUAAAGGGUGCGUAGGUGGCCUGUUAAGUCAGGGGUGAAAGACGGUAGCUCAACUAUCGCAGUGCCCUUGAUACUGAUGGGCUUGAAUGAACUAGAGGUAGGCGGAAUGUGACAAGUAGCGGUGAAAUGCAUAGAUAUGUCACAGAACACCAAUUGCGAAGGCAGCUUACUAUGGUUUGAUUGACACUGAGGCACGAAAGCGUGGGGAUCAAACAGGAUUAGAUACCCGUGUAGUCCCCUGUCUCUUAUA